ensembl:lincRNA 4921539H07Rik RIKEN cDNA 4921539H07 gene
AUGUGGGCAUCUGCAACAUGGAAACCAGAUGGCCGUUUUCUUGAAUCUGCUUUGUUCUCCUUCAACAGCCUCUUUAUGAAGGCUGCCCAGAAGAGGAUGCUCCAGGUCGGCUCAGCUUGCAAAACCAGCAGAAUCCGGUUAUCUAAGAAGCUCUACAUCUCCUGACAAUUGCAAUCUCACUUUCCCUGACUCCAUACUUCACCUUCCUGUCUGUCCCCAGCACAGCCGGACCUUACCCUCCACCCUUGUCCGCUUACCUCAGUGUCUCUAUGGUCAGAACAGCCAACCACAACAAGGCUUCCACUGGCAGGAAACAGUCUUCACACUCUUGGGAUUUCCUAUUAUGUGAUGUGCAACCUUUUCCAGAAACAAUAGAACCUAAAAAUAGAAACCGCCUGGAUCCACCUUCAUCUCAUACAAUGACUCCGUGGCCGCUGUAACUGGCCUUGAAGCAGUGCCAGGCACUUUGAAAUCCCGAGGCUCAUCGGUGUGAAUGAAGGAAGCGCUUCCAGGGACUCCCAAGCGAGGGGAGGCUGCUGUUUACUUAUUCCCUAGUCUUUGUUAUUUUGUUGGCCUUUGCCAGGAAAGCCUGGGUAGGAGGAAGGAAAGCAAGAAGGGGAUCAGAGGGGUGCAGGAGAUUAGCAAGCAGAAUUGGUGACCCUGGGGGAAGAGACUAAUUCCCAGAGGAAUUAGGUGAGUUUUUGAAGGAUGGGGUUGAACUGGAGAAGAGAGGGAAAGAGAAGCAGGUUGAAACUGGAUUUUCAGCGGCCCACGUAGUUGGAGUGACUGGGCCUUCACAGCUGGAUCAUGGCUUCUGGAAAUGGAGCAGGGAGGAGAAUCAGUCCGUCUUCAAGUCACUACCAGGGUCAGCAGUUACUGUUUCUCUCUCACCAUCCCCUGAGAAGUUCCCAUUCUCUUCUGUGUGGAGGAGGAGACAGAGGAAGGGACAAAAACCUGGAGAGGGCAGAAGCACCUGCCCACCCAUGUGAGACAAGACAAGAAGCGGAAGUUAAUCAGCGUGCACCGGCCCCUCCAUAAAGAUCCCACCCCACUGGAGUGUGUGACCAACCUGGGAGAGAAACUGGGAGUUCUCAACAAUGAUGCUAAGAGCCAUGACCUUGAAAUUCAAAAGCAAAUAGAGAAGAGAUGAAGACCCAGGAGACCCGAGCUUGAAGUUAUCCCAGGAGAAACAAGCUGAAUAUAAGGUCUUCCCAGACUCAGCUCAGAGUCAAACAGCCUGUCUUCUAACCCCAUUUCCUCCCAUCACCAGCUGGGUGACUUGGAAGUCCGUCUUUCCUUUCCCUGAGCGGAUACCCAUUUCAUUAGGUUCAUUAGGUGAGGGUGACAUGAGGUGGGAGCAAACAGCUCUAUCUCCAUACACCCCGUUAAGGGGCUUUGUGGGCAGAACCAAGACUCACCCAGAAAGAUGUGGUCGGUAGAAAAUAGCUUUUACACGAAUCUAGGCCUGGAUGGAGAAAGAAGACAUGUUAAAAAACAAACAAACAGACAAACAAAAAACAAAACAAAAAACCCAAACAAACAAAAACAACUGGCAACAGGGAAGGAGCCUGGUGCUUGUAUACACGGUGCCUGGGGUACUCAAGAGGACGUGGGAAAGUUCUCCCCGUACAAGCAUCCAGCAAAUACAGGGAGAUCAAUAAAACCAAAUUACCACCGUUUUGCAGCCUCCAAAGAAACAAUGAAAGUUAACAGUGACCGUUAUAUCAGUUACUAAUUUACUGCCUUUAAACCCUAAGUCCACCGUUUCAGUGCUCUGGGGUCAUUCAUUGAAGGAACUCGAAACACUUCUCCUUCCCAACGCGCAUGAUUUGACGCUUCAUCAGUAGAGGGCGCUAAAGAGACACUACAGGAACAAGGGGCUUUUCACUUGGUUUUACUCCUGGUGUCUGACCUCCAGGAGUGCACAUGUAGGCUCAUCAGCCAGGCCAUGUGCCAUCAAGAUCGCUACAGUGUACAGUCCUUCUCCCGGAUCCUCUGCCUGGACUCAGAGACCCCUUGCCUUCACCCUUGUAACGUACCAGUUUUACACAGACCUCCUGACCACUUUCCACCUAUAGCUGGCUGACAAGGCAGCAGGACUUUGUUUCUUAAAGCCCUCCAAGUGUGAAUGCUUCACACGAGUCCUUACACUUCCUAUUGUGUAUGGUAGGUAAACAGCCAUAGCCUCAGCUCGCCUGUACCUUUUGCAUCCUUCCCUUCUUGCAUGGCAAGUAUGAACAUGCACCUACCAGAUAGCCUAGUGUCCCCAGCUACUGGCUAUUGUGCCUCACUCAAGCUUUUGCCUUCAACAAUGUCAAAAGUCCGGCCUUAGGGAGAGCCCCUAUUUCAGGGUUGUUUUUCUUUGCUAUUCUCCCUCAGAUAUAGGGUGCCCUUCAGAGGCAGCUUUACACCUCCACAGCUAUUAUUUUAAUAAUUCUGUAUAUUAAACUUCCGUUAUUUUAAAUUACUAUAUAAUUUUCUGUUUCCCAAAGUAGGCCCAAUGACAUGGGUGGGGGGUGCGUGGUAACGUCAUGGAGAGACAGGAAAAUCAUGUGGCCUUGCUGGAGGUCUAAAACACAGCAGUUCAAGUGUUCUGGACAAAAUAUCAAGCCUGAUUCUUGUCCAGCCUUGGAUCUGACCAAACGUUUGAGAGGAAAGGAACGCGUUAAAUGACACCAUCAGAUACAGCCACCAGAUCAAGGCUCAAGAAAACCUCAUGAGAAGAACAAUCAGAAUUCUCCAGUGUGACAGAGGAGAGAAUCUGCCUGCCAUCUGUCUGUCUGUCCAUCCAUCUAUUCAUCUAUCUACCCAUCAUUCGUCUGUCUAUGGCUUUUUAUCCAAUUAGAAUUAAAGACUCCAUUGCACACUGAUUCUGGUAAAAAAAAAUUGGAGACAAAUGAAUUUAACUGUCUGGAUAUUUGAUAAUAUUAAUUAUCUUUUUUUAAAAAAAUAAGAGUUAAUGAAGGAAAUAUUUGUUGAUAUU